UACGUAGGGUCCGAGCGUUGUCCGGAUUUAUUGGGCGUAAAGAGCUCGUAGGCGGUUCCGUAAGUCAGAUGUGAAAACUCAGGGCUCAACCUGGAGACGCCACCCGAUACUGCUGUGGCUAGAGUCCGGUAGGGGAGCGUGGAAUUCCUGGUGUAGCGGUGAAAUGCGCAGAUAUCAGGAGGAACACCAGCGGCGAAGGCGGCGCUCUGGGCCGGUACUGACGCUGAGGAGCGAAAGCGUGGGGAGCAAACAGG
rnacentral:rRNA from 1 species